AUGGGCGCAAGCCUGAUGCAGCCAUGCCGCGUGUAUGAAGAAGGCCUUCGGGUUGUAAAGUACUUUCAGCAGUGAGGAAGGUGGUGUCGUUAAUAGCGCCAUCAUUUGACGUUAGCUGCAGAAGAAGCACCGGCUAACUCCGUGCCAGCAGCCGCGGUAAUACGGAGGGUGCGAGCGUUAAUCGGAAUUACUGGGCGUAAAGCGCAUGCAGGUGGUUUGUUAAGUCAGAUGUGAAAGCCCGGGGCUCAACCUCGGAAUUGCAUUUGAAACUGGCAGACUAGAGUACUGUAGAGGGGGGUAGAAUUUCAGGUGUAGCGGUGAAAUGCGUAGAGAUCUGAAGGAAUACCGGUGGCGAAGGCGGCCCCCUGGACAGAUACUGACACUCAGAUGCGAAAGCGUGGGGAGCAAACAGGAUUAGAUACCCUGGUAGUCCACGCCGUAAACGAUGUCUACAUUGGAGGUUGUGGCCUUGAGCCGUGGCUUUCGGAGCUAACGCGUUAAGUAGACCGCCUGGG
rnacentral:rRNA from 2 species